rnacentral:rRNA from 1 species
UACAGAGGGUGCAAGCGUUAAUCGGAAUUACUGGGCGUAAAGCGUGCGUAGACGGUUAUUUAAGUCAGGUGUGAAAGCCCAGGGCUCAACCUUGGAAUUGCAUUUGAGACUGAAUAGCUAGGGUGCGGAAGAGGGAAGCGGAAUUUCCGGUGUAGCGGUGAAAUGCGUAGAUAUCGGAAGGAAUACCAGUGGCGAAAGCGGUUUCCUGGUCCAGCAUCGACGUUCAGGCACGAAAGCGUGGGGAGCAAACAGG